UACGUAGGGUGCGAGCGUUAAUCGGAAUUACUGGGCGUAAAGCGUGCGCAGGCGGUUCGUUGUGUCGGUGGUGAAAUCCCCGGGCUUAACCUGGGAAUGGCCAUGGAAACUGGCGAACUGGAGUGCGGCAGAGGGGGUGGAAUUCCGCGUGUAGCAGUGAAAUGCGUAGAGAUGCGGAGGAACACCGAUGGCGAAGGCAGCCCCCUGGGCUAGCACUGACAGCCUCGAGGCACGAAAGCGUGGGGAGCAACAGG
rnacentral:rRNA from 1 species